rnacentral:rRNA from 1 species
UAGGCCUAACACAUGCAAGUCGAACGGCAGCACGGGUGCUUGCACCUGGUGGCGAGUGGCGAACGGGUGAGUAAUAUAUCGGAACGUGCCCUAGAGUGGGGGAUAACUAGUCGAAAGAUUAGCUAAUACCGCAUACGAUCUACGGAUGAAAGUGGGGGAUCGCAAGACCUCAUGCUCCUGGAGCGGCCGAUAUCUGAUUAGCUAGUUGGUGGGGUAAAAGCCUACCAAGGCGACGAUCAGUAGCUGGUCUGAGAGGACGACCAGCCACACUGGGACUGAGACACGGCCCAGACUCCUACGGGAGGCAGCAGUGGGGAAUUUUGGACAAUGGGGGCAACCCUGAUCCAGCAAUGCCGCGUGUGUGAAGAAGGCCUUCGGGUUGAAAGCAAAGUGUCAGGAACGAAACGGUGGGGGCUAAUAU